CUUAUCCUUUGUUGCCAGCGAUUAGGUCGGGAACUCAAAGGAGACUGCCAGUGAUAAACUGGAGGAAGGUGGGGAUGACGUCAAGUCAUCAUGGCCCUUACGACCAGGGCUACACACGUGCUACAAUGGCGCAUACAAAGAGAAGCGACCUCGCGAGAGCAAGCGGACCUCAUAAAGUGCGUCGUAGUCCGGAUUGGAGUCUGCAACUCGACUCCAUGAAGUCGGAAUCGCUAGUAAUCGUGGAUCAGAAUGCCACGGUGAAUACGUUCCCGGGCCUUGUACACACCGCCCGUCACACCAUGGGAGUGGGUUGCAAAAGAAGUAGGUAGCUUAACCUUCGGGAGGGCGCUUACCACUUUGUGAUUCAUGACUGGGGUGAAGUCGUAACAAGGUAACCGUAGGGGAACCUGCGGUUGGA
rnacentral:rRNA from 3 species